CGGAAACGAGUAUGCGUAGCCUGACGGACAUACCGCGUGAGGGAGGAAGGCUCUUGGGUCGUAAACCUCUUUUCUCAAGGAAGAAGAAAGUGACGGUACUUGAGGAAUAAGCAUCGGCUAACUCCGUGCCAGCAGCCGCGGUAAUACGGAGGAUGCAAGCGUUAUCCGGAAUGAUUGGGCGUAAAGGGUCUGCAGGUGGAACUGAAAGUCUGCUGUUAAAGAGUUUGGCUUAACCAAAUAAAAGCGGUGGAAACUACAGAACUAGAGUGCGGUAGGGGCAAAAGGAAUUCCUGGUGUAGCGGUGAAAUGCGUAGAUAUCAGGAAGAACACCGGUGGCGAAAGCGUUUUGCUAGACCGUAACUGACACUGAGGGACGAAAGCUAGGGGAGCGAAUGGGAUUAGAUACCCCAGUAGUCCUAGCCGUAAACGAUGGAUACUAGGCGUGGCUUGUAUCGACCCGAGCCGUGCCGGAGCUAACGCGUUAAGUAUCCCGCCUGGGGAGUACGCACGCAAGUGUGAAACUCAAAGGAAUUGACGGGGGCCCGCACAAGCGGUGGAGUAUGUGGUUUAAUUCGAUGCAACGCGAAGAACCUUACCAAGGCUUGACAUCCUGCGAAUCCUGGUGAAAGCUGGGAGUGCCUUAGGGAGCGCAGAGACAGGUGGUGCAUGGCUGUCGUCAGCUCGUGUCGUGAGAUGUUGGGUUAAGUCCCGCAACGAGCGCAACCCUCGUUUUUAGUUGCCAGCAUUAAGUUGGGGCACUCUAGAGAGACUGCCGGUGACAAACCGGGAGGAAGGUGAGGAUGACGUCAAGUCAGCAUGCCCCUUACGUCCUUGGGGCUACACCACCGUACUUACAAAUGCCUUACCGGGAACAGAG
rnacentral:rRNA from 1 species